CACAGCAGACAUUUCUCAUUCAGCAGUGCGGCCUGACUCUCUCCUCCGGUGUUUUAUGCUGGAGUUGUCAGAGCUAAUUGCUGACUGAAUAGCCUCUUCUGAGCAGCUCCAGUCUCAGCACUUUCUGGAAGGCUCAGGACAACAUGUGCAGCUGGUUCACUUCAUUGCUACUUUCACCAUUUUUCCCAUUCAUUUUUCCCGUAUGGAAGACGAGUUAUAACCAAAUCAACCGGUCUUCAAGAGAAAAAAAAAUGGACAAAAGGACAAAGCUUCUAUACAUCCGUCGAUGGCCUGUGUGUAUUUUUCCAGCGCAUCCCCGAACUGUCCAUUUUUGAACAACAUAUUGCCCUCAUUUUUGAACCUGGCUAGAGGAGGAGGAAGGGCCCCACACGGGGCAUCCAGAU